UACGAAGGUCCCGAGCGUUAUCCGGAUUUAUUGGGUUUAAAGGGUGCGUAGGCGGGUUAUUAAGUCAGUGGUGAAAGCCUACAGCUUAACUGUAGAAUUGCCAUUGAUACUGAUGAUCUUGAGUAUGAUUGAGGUUGGCGGAAUGUGUCAUGUAGCGGUGAAAUGCUUAGAUAUGACACAGAACACCGAUUGCGAAGGCAGCUAACUAAGUCAUGACUGACGCUGAUGCACGAAAGCGUGGGGAGCAAACAGG
rnacentral:rRNA from 1 species